rnacentral:rRNA from 1 species
GCUUGUGGCCAAUCAACCUGAAUGCGCCAGAUCUCGUCAAAGCUUGGAAUGCCAAGCAAAGAUUUGAGCCUGGUUGGUACUUGGAUGGGUGACAGGGAAUACUCGGUGGUCUAGGCU